GCUGAGGUAAGGAGAGGGAGGAGUUUCUUAAGGAAAUGCUGUAGACUAUUUAAAGGAGAGGAAUCAGAGAUCCGUCCUUUCUUAUCCUGCAGACUCUCUUGUCUGAGAUGGAGCGGAGAUGGUCUACUUGUAUGCUGUGAUCUGGUGUGCAAUCUGCUGCCACCAGAUGACUGCACACGAGUUGAGACGUCACGCUGCCUAAGGCUCUUUCAGGCUUUUAGCCAAUGCUUGCGUUUAUUUUUUAUUUUGAGGAGGAGAGGAGGAGAACCAAUCUGCCAAGGGAUUCGGCGCUCGUGUCCGCUGCCCUGUUCUAGUGCAUUCUCUGGCAACACUGGAUGUCUGGCUGGGGUCCAGUGGACCUGAAGCGGACGGCACCAGGUCUCUGACCCGCUGACGAAGCACCAGAAACUAGAAGCAACCGAACAAUUACAAAAGCCGACAACUUCCCCUAACCUUUUUCCCUUUGGUCGGCUUCUGGUUGUCUGUUGCUUGGUUAGUAGGUUAUGGGGAUGGCCUGCUGUAAAACCAACCUUUUUUUGAAUAAAGGCUGACUGCAACUUCUUCCCAAAAAAAUAAAAAGAUGAAUAAAAAUGGAAAAACCUGCAACUAAAAUUAAUGUCUGUGUUUUUUUAUUAUUAGAGUAAUGAAGAGAGAAUUACAGGAAAAUGUAAAUUUCAGACCCUCAUGUCUUUCCAAACCGGUACAACUUACUUUCUUCUUUGGAACAUAAAACAAAAUAUUUCAGCAGAAUCCACGCAACAUUUGGAUGCCAUUAACUUUCACUGUAUGAAACAAACAUAGACAUUUUCCAAAAUAUCUUUUAUGUUCCACAGAAGAAGAAGAAAAAAUAAUAAUAAAGGUUUAGAACCACAUGAAGGUGACCACAUGAACCGCAUUUAAUAAUCUUUGUUGUGCAUUCAUGUUAAUUCAGUGCAUUAACAGAUAUGUUUGAUUAAAAAAAUGUAUUAGUAAAUGUUGAAAUGACCAUCAAUUAAUAUUAAUAAAUAGUGUAGAAGUAUUCUCCAUUCUUUAUUAGUUAUAAUGCUUAGCGAUGUUAACAAAUGGAACCUUAGUACUGAAAUUACUGGUAAGGUUAAGGAAAGCUGUUGAAAUAAUUUCCUAAACAAUAUAUAAAUUCAUUUUAUAAAAAAAGAGUUCAUUUUAGUGGAUGUUAUAAGCUAAUGGAGUAUUAAAAUGCUGUGUCAUUCACCAGGAAUAUAACAAACACUUCCUGUAGAGGGACGGGCAGGCAGCAGAUCAGAAACUUACAGAGAAAGCGAAACUUAAGAAAACUAGGGCAACAGCUGUUCACAGAUCAGCUGAGGGCGGGAACAGUGUGCUAGUAUAAAUAACAGGAAGACGCAUUGAUCUGUCCUUUCUACCAUCAGAGCCUCCUUCUUAGUGCUUACAGAUCAGCAGGGUCUAUGGUGAUUCCUCUGUGGGAGACGCCAUGAAACCCUGAGCGAUCUCGUAGCACUAAUGUCAUCAUGAAGGAGGCGGAGCUCAUGUAAAUCCUUGUCCCAAGUGGCGAGGUCAUCUGGCCCAGCACAAUUCAGAGGGGAAACUCAGUCUCCACCUCUGUUUUGCGUUGGUGUCCAGAUGCGCAGAAGCCAGUGCCGUAUGCCUAAAGCUGCGAAGCCUGACAUCUUGCGUAAAGCCUCAAGUCUACAAAGUCUACAAAGUGAAGAACCAACCAGAAAAAAAUCGUACCAAUGCAUGUAAAGCUAUAAGUGAACCAAGAAACGUCUUUUAACACAUUGAUGAAUGACUCGUGAAUAAUGCUACAAAUGUAAA